UAUUUAUUUAUUUGUGGUGUAGGCUUUAGUGAAUGUUGGUGGUCAUUGGUAAAACUUGUCCAAUAUAUGAGUGGAUGCAGGACUUGCAUAUGGACACACGUGGCUUCAUUAGAAAGCAUGGAAUUUAGUUGGCUGGUGGUUGGAUCACGGCGACGGGCUCGAUGCAAAGGCAGGGGGCUCGGCUCUCUCACUCCUUCGUCCUCCCAUCUCUUGCUCGGGCUAGGCUUGACGACGGCUGGGGGUUCAAGGGCUUGACAGCGGCUGGGGCCUCAGAGGGUGGGCUCGACGGCGAGUGGGGUUCUCCGGGCUGGCUGGGCUCGACGGCGCGGGGUCUUGGGGGUGGGAUCGACCGUGCUUCAUUAUAAUGAAAUACUUUUACUAUUGCUUCAUUAUAACUAAUAAAAUUAAUUUAUUAUUAUUAUUAAUUAUGCUCAAAACAAAUGGGUUGGUUUUGCAGAUCCUGAGAGAUUUAGAUUUACAAGAAACACAUCAUUUGGAAGAAGGCAUUUGAACUUUUGGAGCCAGCCACCAUUUUCACUUUGGAUUGUAUGUUUUUCAGACAAUUCUUUGGGUCAGUCACUAAGGUUGAUUACAUGACACUGAGGCAUGGAUUUUUCAUGAUAUGCUACCCAAUCAUGGCCUGAAAGUUGCUUUAAAUUGCAUAAAAUUGAUCAUUGGACCUGAUGAAUACUGCCUAUGCUUUUCCCAUUUCAGGCACAUUUGGCUCCAGAAAGUGAAAUAAGAUUUGAUUUUCAGAAAUACAUUAGCAGAACACUUGAAGAGGAUUUUGUAGUUGUUGUUGGGAUAACGUUAGUGUUUCAGCCUUUAAACUCAUCAGCUUA